GCGAGGUGACGAUAGAAAUUCAUGUUUUUCAACUCACUGACUUUGUGAUGUUACUGUGAAUCCCGACAGGUUCUGAUCGC